rnacentral:rRNA from 1 species
AGAGUUUGAUCAUGGCUCAGGAUGAACGCUAGCGGCAGGCUUAACACAUGCAAGUCGAGGGGUAACGAUGGUGCUUGCACCAGGCGACGACCGGCGCACGGGUGAGUAACGCGUAUGCAACCUACCUAUAACUAAAGAAUAGCCCGAAGAAAUUUGGAUUAAUACUUUAGAUUAUCUGAGAGAGGCAUCUCUCACAGAUUAAAGCUCCGGCGGUUAUAGAUGGGCAUGCGUGCCAUUAGCUUGUUGGUGAGGUAACGGCUCACCAAGGCUAUGAUGGCUAGGGGGUCUUAAAGGAUGAUCCCCCACACUGGUACUGAGACACGGACCAGACUCCUACGGGAGGCAGCAGUGAGGAAUAUUGGUCAAUGGGCGAAAGUCUGAACCAGCCAUGCCGCGUGCAGGAUGACGAUCCUAUGGAUUGUAAACUGCUUUUGUACGGGAAGAAUAUUUUCUACGUGUAGGAAAUUGACGGUACCGUGCGAAUAAGCAUCGGCUAACUCCGUGCCAGCAGCCGCGGUAAUACGGAGGAUGCAAGUGUUAUCCGGAUUUAUUAGGUUUAAAGGGUACGCAGGCGGAAGAGUAAGUCAGUGGUGAAAUCCUACAGCUUAACUGUAGAACUGCCAUUGAUACUGUUCUUCUUGAGUGCAGUUGAGGCAGGCGGAAUGCGUAGUGUAGCGGUGAAAUGCAUAGAUAUUGCGCAGAACUCCGAUUGCGAAGGCAGCUUGCAAAACUGUAACUGACGCUCAUGUACGAAAGCGUGGGGAGCGAACAGGAUUAGAUACCCUGUAGUCCACCCGUAAACGAUGAUCACUCGUUGUGUGCGGAUACACUGUACGCGNACUGNNNAGCNAAAGCAUUAAGUGAUCCACCUGGGGAGUACGUCGGCAACGAUGAAACUCAAAGGAAUUGACGGGGGCCCGCACAAGCGGAGGAACAUGUGGUUUAAUUCGAUGAUACGCGAGGAACCUUACCCGGGUUUAAAUGCAAGACGACGUACUGUGAAAGCAGUAUUUCUUCGGACGUCUUGUAAGGUGCUGCAUGGCUGUCGUCAGCUCGUGCCGUGAGGUGUCGGGUUAAGUCCCAUAACGAGCGAAACCCCUAUUGUUAGUUGCCAGCGAGUAAUGUCGGGGACUCUAGCAAGACUGCCACCGUAAGGUGUGAGGAAGGUGGGGAUGACGUCAAGUCAGCACGGCCCUUAUGUCCGGGGCUACACACGUGUUACAAUGGUUGGUACAAAGGGCAGCUACACAGCGAUGUGAUGCUAAUCUCAAAAACCAAUCUCAGUUCGGAUUGGAGUCUGCAACUCGACUCCAUGAAGUUGGAUUCGCUAGUAAUCGUAUAUCAGCAAUGAUACGGUGAAUACGUUCCCGGGCCUUGUACACACCGCCCGUCAAGCCAUGGAAGCCGGGAGUGCCUGAAGUCCGUAACCGCGAGGAUCGGCCUAGGGUAAGACCGGUAACUGGGGCUAAGUCGUAACAAGGUA